rnacentral:rRNA from 1 species
UGGGGAAUAUUGGACAAUGGGCGCAAGCCUGAUCCAGCCAUACCGCGUGGGUGAAGAAGGCCUUCGGGUUGUAAAGCCCUUUUGUUGGGAAAGAAAAGCAAUCGAUUAAUACCCGGUUGUUCUGACGGUACCCAAAGAAUAAGCACCGGCUAACUUCGUGCCAGCAGCCGCGGUAAUACGAAGGGUGCAAGCGUUACUCGGAAUUACUGGGCGUAAAGCGUGCGUAGGUGGUUGUUUAAGUCUGUUGUGAAAGCCCUGGGCUCAACCUGGGAAUUGCAGUGGCUAAUGGGCAACUAGAGUGUGGUAGAGGGUAGUGGAAUUCCCGGUGUAGCAGUGAAAUGCGUAGAGAUCGGGAGGAACAUCCAUGGCGAAGGCAGCUACCUGGACCAACACUGACACUGAGGCACGAAAGCGUGGGGAGCAAACAGG